CCCUAGAUGAACAAUGCUUUAUAUUGGUUGUAGAUUAAUAAUCCAUACACAGCACUAGUUUUCUUACUUAAUUUUCACAUCUCUUUCUCAGGAGUCGAAGAGUUACUGAGAGUUCAGUUCAUCUGUCUUCUCUCAAAUAAAGAGAGACUCCCUGCAAAUAUGUCUAAUCUUCCUUAGCUCUUUCAUAACCAUCACUUUUCCCUCUCUCUGUGGGACAUGAUACGUUCGAUCCGUCAGCUUGAGGCUUAUCGCUGUGUUUAAAGGGGUUCUGUGUUCUGUCAUAGAGGCAGGAGGCCAUAAACACAUAUGAGCAUCUCCCUCACUGUCAAGGCUUUCUGAGUUGUAAUUGGCUGAGAGCUGCACUGUCAGCUGAUUGGCCGGGCUGAGGAUGAAUGGCCACGCUGACAACCAAUGGGGCCAGAUGAGGGUGAGCCGGGUGAGAUAUGGGACGCCGCAUUCUUGAGCAUAAUCAAAUCUUUGGAGCUUUCACUGAUGGUGAGUGAAUCAGUUUGUAUCAAGAGUUCAUAUGCAAGAGGAACCAAGACACACCUCAAAAGAUUCAAACAAGUUUUUGCAGCAAGCUAAUGAAGUUUAUAUUGAAGAGGUUUUGGGAUGAAAGGUCACCAGCUGCCCUCUGCUCAGCCUCCCCUCACCGCUCCAUCUAGCGCUCCAACAGAAGUGCUGAAAAUAACCUGUGAUGGAUGCAAAUCUGAACAUUUCCCUCAUUCCCUCCUCCUUUCUUACUCUACCUUUCUCUGCUCAUCAGACCAUCUCUCGUCAACUCUAUUAGUCCAGAUGAAGAUGAAGAUGGAUAUGGGCGGUCAGUUAUUUAUGGAUUAGGGGCGGAGCUCUGAACCACUCUUGCCAUUCUUUAAUGUCCCUAAAAGCUCUUGGGCAUGUUUCACAUUACCAUAAUUAUCUUCUUUUUCUUUUCUUUUUUUUUCUUUUUUUUUCCUUGAACUUUUU